GACGAACGCUGGCGGCGUGCUUAACACAUGCAAGUCGAACGGAAAGGCCCUGCUUUUGUGGGGUGCUCGAGUGGCGAACGGGUGAGUAACACGUGAGUAACCUGCCCUUGACUUUGGGAUAACUUCAGGAAACUGGGGCUAAUACCGGAUAGGCGCUCCUGCUGCAUGGUGGGGGUUGGAAAGUUUCGGCGGUUGGGGAUGGACUCGCGGCUUAUCAGCUUGUUGGUGGGUAGUGGCUUACCAAGGCUUUGACGGGUAGCCGGCCUGAGAGGGUGACCGGCCACAUUGGGACUGAGAUACGGCCCAGACUCCUACGGGAGGCAGCAGUGGGGAAUAUUGCACAAUGGGCGGAAGCCUGAUGCAGCAACGCCGCGUGCGGGAUGACGGCCUUCGGGUUGUAAACCGCUUUCGCCUGUGACGAAGCGUGAGUGACGGUAAUGGGUAAAGAAGCACCGGCUAACUACGUG
rnacentral:rRNA from 1 species